AGGGUUUGAUCCUGGCCCAGGAUGAACGCUGGCGGCGUGGAUAAUGCAUGCAAGUCGAACGAAAUAUAUUAAUUUAAUAUGUUUAGUGGCAGACGGGGUAGUAACACGUAGGAACUUACCCCAGAGACGGAUAUAAUCCGCCGAAAGGCGGACUAAUUCCCGAUAGUCUCCGAGCGCAAGCGAGGAGUAAAACACUUAGAUUGGCUCUGGGAGAGGCCUGCGGGCUAUCAGCUUGUUGGCGAGGUAAUGGCUCACCAAGGCUACGACGGCUAGGGGGCGUGAGAG
rnacentral:rRNA from 1 species